ACGGAGGGUGCAAGCGUUGCUCGGAAUUAUUGGGCGUAAAGGGCAGGUAGGUUGUCUUGUUUGUCUAGGGUGAAAGCCCCGAGCUUAACUCGGGAAGUGCCUUAGAAACGGCGAGACUAGAGUCUUGGAGAGGGUCGUGGAAUUCCCGGUGUAGCGGUGAAAUGCGUAGAGAUCGGGAGGAACACCAGAGGCGAAGGCGGCGACCUGGACAAGAACUGACACUCAGCUGCGAAAGCGUGGGGAGCAAACAG
rnacentral:rRNA from 1 species